rnacentral:rRNA from 2 species
CCCCUUGGGAGGAAAAGAAACCAACAGGGAUUACCUCAGUAACGGCGAGUGAAGCGGUAACAGCUCAAAUUUGAAAGCUAGCUCUUUUAGGGUUCGCAUUGUAAUUUGUAGAAGAUGCUUCGGGUGUGGCCCCGGUCUAAGUUCCUUGGAACAGGACGUCAUAGAGGGUGAGAAUCCCGUAUGUGACUGGGUGCUUUCGCUCAUGUGAAGCUCUUUCGACGAGUCGAGUUGUUUGGGAAUGCAGCUCAAAAUGGGUGGUAAAUUUCAUCUAAAGCUAAAUAUUGGCCAGAGACCGAUAGCGCACAAGUAGAGUGAUCGAAAGAUGAAAAGCACUUUGGAAAGAGAGUUAAACAGUACGUGAAAUUGUUGAAAGGGAAGCGCUUGCAACCAGACUUGCGCGCUGAUGAUCAUCCGGGCUUCUGUCCGGUGCACUCGUCUGCGCUCAGGCCAGCAUCGGUUUCGGUGGUGGGAUAAAGGCCUUGGGAAUGUAGCUUCUUUCGGGGAGUGUUAUAGCCCUCGGUGCAAUGCCGCCUACCGGGACCGAGGACCGCGCUCGGCUAGGAUGCGCGUAAAUCCUACCU